UAGGAAGAGAUUCCUUUGGACUUAGAUC
rnacentral:piRNA from 1 species